CGAUCGGUGACAGGUGGUGCAUGGUUGUCGUCAGCUCGUGUCGUGAGAUGUUGGUUAAGUCCCGCAACGAGCGCAACCCCUAUUGUUAGUUGCCAUCAUUCAGUUGGGCACUCUAGCGAGACUGCCGGUAAUAAACCGGAGGAAGGUGGGGAUGACGUCAAAUCAUCAUGCCCCAUAUGACCUGGGCUACACACGUGCUACAAUGGUUGGUACAACGAGUUGCGAGUCGGUGACGGCGAGCUAAUCUCUUAAAGCCAAUCUCAGUUCGGAUUGUAGGCUGCAACUCGCCUACAUGAAGUCGGAAUCGCUAGUAAUCGCGGAUCAGCACGCCGCGGUGAAUACGUUCCCGGGCCUU
rnacentral:rRNA from 1 species